rnacentral:rRNA from 1 species
UACGUAGGGUGCAAGCGUUGUCCGGAAUUAUUGGGCGUAAAGAGCUCGUAGGCGGUUUGUCGCGUCUGCUGUGAAAACUCGGGGCUUAACUCCGGGCCUGCAGUGGGUACGGGCAGACUAGAGUGCGGUAGGGGAGACUGGAAUUCCUGGUGUAGCGGUGAAAUGCGUAGAUAUCGUAAGGAAGACCAGUGGCGAAGGCAGCUCGCUGGGACGUUACUGACACUGAGGCGCGAAAGCGUGGGGAGCGAACAGG